rnacentral:rRNA from 1 species
UAGGGAAUAUUGCGCAAUGGGGGAAACCCUGACGCAGCAACGCCGCGUGAGUGAGGAAGGUCUUCGGAUUGUAAAACUCUUUUCUUAGAGAAAAAUGGUCAUGGAGCUAAUACCCCAUGAUUUGAUGGUAUCUAAGGAAUAAGCACCGGCUAACUUCGUGCCAGCAGCCGCGGUAAUACGAAGGGUGCAAGCGUUGUUCGGAAUCAUUGGGCGUAAAGCGCGCGCAGGCGGAUUGAUAAGUCAGGUGUGAAAUCUCGAGGCUCAACCUCGAAACUGCGCCUGAAACUAUUAGUCUAGAAUGUCGGAGGGGGCAGGGGAAUUUCACGUGUAGGGGUAAAAUCCGUAGAGAUGUGAAGGAACACCGGAGGCGAAGGCGCCUGCCUGGACGACUAUUGACGCUGAGGCGCGAAAGCGUGGGGAGCAAACAGG